GGAAAACUCCCGGCCUGGCCUUGACACUCGAACAUGUGGGUCCUGGAAAUUCAGGGACUUUCUGCUUCCAAGUUAACUUUGACCAAGCUGGAACGUGACUUUUGGAGAAAUGGUUGCCAGUCACUUCUACUGGCAAACCACGUGGACGCGCCUUUUGUAAAGUGUCUUCAGAGCUUUUACAAGACAAUUCUUUCCUCUAUUAGUGGUAACCAAAUUUAUCUCCUUCUCUGAUCCAUUUUCCUCCUACCUUUAUUGCUAUAGCUUAAAAUCAGAGACCAGAUUCAGGGUCUAAUCACCAGCUCCAGGCCUGGGUUUUGCUUUUAAAGAGGUCUGUUCUCAGGUGACGUGAUGGAAGACAGAAAGCUUGUUUCAGCAAGGACUUCAUAGAAUCAGGUGAGCUGGGCUGGUGGUGCAUGAUUCACGUGACAGUCGUUUUAAUCAUCUGUGCAUUAUAAAUUUGAUCUACAGAAAAUUAUUCUCAAAAACAACCAUGGAGUCUCCAGAUUUUCACACAAUGUCUAGGUGUUUAGUGGAGCUCUAUGGUAUCGUUCAAAGAAUUAAUUAAGAGUAAAUGACUUUGAACCUCGCAUGCCAACCCCCCCGUGUUUGUGUGUGUGUGUGUGUGUGUGUGUGUGUGUAUAAUCAGUCAAGAAUUGAUCCACACUUUUUUUUGUAUGUUUUUAGACAAGAUCGUAGUGCAGAAUGAUCUGAAACUAAUUGCAAACAUGAGAAUAAUCUUAGAUUCCUGAUUCUUCUAGCUGUUAUCUACUUGUAAAUCCAAGCUGGAGCUACAAAAUCAUUUUGGAAACACAGUUGGACAAUAUUUUGAGCAUGCCAUGCAGUAAGAACUGAUGGGUGGCCAGGAGUGGCCGCCCUUUUAACAUGUUGACACAAUGGUACCUACAAAGUUCACACCCAAAACCACACAGUCCAGUUACAAAAAAAUAAAAACCACUCCAAAUGAGGUUAUGAUUUGUGUUGUGCUCCAUUCAUCCCUGCCCUUGGAGCCUCAUGUGGCCUGUGGAUCACAGGUUGGAUAUGCCUGGACGAAGCAACCAGAGGAGUUUGGCAUACCUACUUCCCUGAAAAUGUUACAUGCCUAAAAUUACCUACUUCACAAAAAUCUUUGUUGUGAACUCUCCCGGUGUACCUGUCUUUUUCUUCCUUUUUGGUGGCAAUAGCAAGGUCCUCAGUCAUGUAAUUCACCAUUUUCAACCUUGGCUACACGUUCAGGCCGUCCUCAGUGGCCUCUUCCUAGUAUCAAUAAGAUGACAUCAAGUCUCGAUGAGUCAAUCUGUCUGCCUACAUUGGUCCUCACAUCAUUUCCCACAGUUUGAUGAAGAUCGAUGUUGAGUCUUUAUUAUCUAUUUUAGUCUCCUGGUCCCUCAUGCAGUCACCCUCUGCUGAAGAGCAUAGACUCUGUCCUCCCAACCCUUUAAAACUUUGCUUCAUGAAUCUCAGGCAACUUCCACUAGACCUCCUUCCUCACACCAACCCCUCAGUUAAAUAAUCUCUCAAAACUAAUAAUAAUAAUUAUUUUAUUUAUAUAAUAAAACCUUGAUUUGGAUUUAAUUUCAACAAGUAAAUUAAAAUAAAUUUUAAAAAGUUUGAUAAUUUUUAACAUCUCUGUGGCUGGCCCACAGACCCACCUAGGAUGCACAAAAUUGCUGGCGACCACAAGACCACAUUUGUGGAAUACUCGUCCAUCCAUCCCACCGCUAAUGUGCAUUCUGCAGAGUGAAAAGGAUCAAAUGUGACUUGUGUCAAGUUACGUUUCCUUUAUUUCUUACAGUGCUUUUUAAUUCUUCUUUAUUGAUUGCAGAAAUUUUUGAUUUAUUGAUUUGUCAGCUUUCCUAGUCUAUCUGCUUCAGUGCUGGGAAACUGAAGUGUGCGGAAAGACCAAGGCUGACAAGUAGAAACUUAAAGACCCAACUUAGCAGCCAUCAACGAACCAGACACUAGUAAUGAUUCUGCAGAGGGCUUGCUGGGUUAACUGGCUAUGUGCUUUGGGACGUGAAUGGUUGAUCUUUAAGGCUUAACUCAGGAUCCGCUGUUCACACACACUGGCAUGUUUACCUAAAGGAAAAUUACAGAACGAGCUGUGUCCAGAAUCCUCGGGUACUCCCCUUCAUCCGGCCUCUUGUUUCUUUGGAUAUUUUGCUCAGUUCAAAACCUUGAUUUCCCAGCAUGCCCUCUGCUCUAUUGGGCUACACAUGCGCAUGACUUGAGUGUGAACAAUUGGAUGUGUGAGAGCCGUCUGUUUGAAAUGAGGAAGAUAAGCCUAGGGGCUUCUCAGAUUUUCCCUUUACUCUGAACAUGGGGUUGAAGUUGGGAAUGAGGAACGUGAGAAGCUUGGAGUCUGCUGCUGAGGUAAGACUGCCCCUCCUGCCACUGAGGUAGGUAAGCCCCUGAACAUGAUGAUUUACCUCUUUGCAACCCCAGCUGCUGUGUUUUUCUGGGCUGUGAGGUCAAAUUUUAUUUCCACAGGAACCCUAGAACACACAGGACACCACAGUUUCAGCUCCAUCUUGCUUUACCUCCAGUUUCCUCCCAACUCCAAAGGAUGAAGAACAGGGAGCCUCUCCAAGACACACACUGGGAAAUAACCCUUCCCAUUUGUUUACCUGAGUUUGGAACUGGAAGCACAUCUAGUGCUUCAAGCCAAGAGUACUUCCCCGAGACUGCGGGAACCUCGGCAAGAAGAUGUGGACACUUCUGAAGAGAAUGGAGGACACGAGAUUUUCCUCUGGAUUGGGCGCUGUCAGAAGACAAGUGAAACCAGCAUGAAUAAUAUGGCUCUGCCAUGAUUGACAGCAAGUUGGUCAUGCCAUAGAGGCCAAGCAUUGUCUGUCAGGUAGCUCCCUGAUGUUUCACCCUCGUUCAUGUGACUUGACAGUGACAGAAUCCACAUGAGAGCUAGGACACAGCCCUGACCCAGCUCAGCAGAGUUUUGUGAUGCCAGUCACAUCUUUUUCAUCCAGGUCUUUCAAUGGAUUACUCAAUACCUGACAGGUAACCUUUUUCCCUCCUCAAAUACCCAGAAUAGCCUAAGCCUUAGUCAUCCAGAAUAAACUAAGCCUUGAAUCUCCCAGAAUAAGCUAAGCUCUUAGCCUCUUGAAAGAUUGCUUCGUCAACUGUCAUAAUUCGUUUACAGCAGAGUUAAAAUGCUAUAAAGGAGUUACAAGCAGAACACUGUAGACUGCUGACUCCUGCUGUGGUUUUAAAGGCAUUUUGCUAUCUUAAAGCUCUAAUGGUCUGACUUUGGAAGUCUGCUGGUCUUUGUCUGAUUGACGAUUCUGGCAUCAUCGUGCGAACCAUGAAGUCUGAGCCAGUGAGUUCCUUGUCUCCAGGAAUUGUCCUGUGAUUCUCAAGCAGGCACCACACCUCAGAAAGGAAACAGGUGUCGCCCUGGAAGAUCACACUUUGAAGAACUGAGGCAGAUGGGAACUCGUGGUCCAUGACUGGAUAGCUCUGAGUGAACUGUGGGGUGGAGAUAUUUAUGCCGGGUCACCGAGUUCAUUUGCACCCCGGAUAACCAGACUGCGGAGUGAGCUACUGAGCGUGAAGGACACAAGACCAGAAUCUCAGAGGUGGAAAUGCUCUCCAGUUUUGAGGUCUUGCUCACAAUGCAGUGAAAACGCGUAAAACUGGGUGAGGUGAGGUAGCAUCACCGAAGAGACAGGGGCAUUCCAGCUGAGAAUGCUUCCUUUAAAAGAGACUACACCAAGACAACUAGACGCUUGAGCAAGCAGAGGCUUGCUGUUCCCAAGACUGCUCUCCAGAAAGGUAUGGGAAGCCCACUCUGGAGACAAGAUCAAAUGAAAGAAUGACCUACAUUUUAAACAGCCCAGGAUAGAAAGUCUCGGAACUGCCAUGUUAACUCCACUGUCUGCUUGUCUCUGUUACUUCCUUUAACAGUGUGUUGUCACCUGCAAUGCCCUUGGAAAAAAAUGCUCACCACUAGAGGCAAAUUCUAAUUAACUCAAUCCAUCCUCAAAACAGACCCCUGAGGAAGGUGGAGUUGCCACCCCUGUUUUGUGAGGAAACUGGAGUGCAGAGAUGUGAAAGAAACCCUUUCCCAUCAUUCACGCAGGUAUCCAUGAGGCUGGACCAGGCACCCACACCCAACGUUCUGGCUACAGACUGCCUGCUCUCACCGCUUUCUCCCAACAUUACUUCUCUCUAUCUGUGACACUCAAGAAAUAAACUUGGCAACCACAAAGACAAUUUUCUGUCUUAGUAAUCCACUUUGAUUCUGCUUCCCCUUCCUGGGAUGGGCAUGGCGCUAUGGUGAUUAUCUAAGCCAUCUGGGGACUGCGGACACACACUCUUUGUUUAUAGAAGACUUGGAGGUCCAUUAAAGGUUCAGUGAGGUGUCGGUUCUGCUCGUUCACGAUAGCAGCGGAUGCUGGCUUUCCCUCCCACGUUUCCCAGUAUCCCUUCAACUGGUUCAGUGAUCUUUCCUUGGCUCCAUUUAUCUGGC
rnacentral:sRNA from 1 species